rnacentral:rRNA from 1 species
UACGUAGGGUGCAAGCGUUGUCCGGAAUUAUUGGGCGUAAAGAGCUCGUAGGCGGUUUGUCGCGUCGAAUGUGAAAACCCGGGGCUCAACUCCGGGCCUGCAUUCGAUACGGGCAGACUAGAGUUCGGUAGGGGAGACUGGAAUUCCCGGUGUAGCGGUGAAAUGCGCAGAUAUCGGGAGGAACACCGGUGGCGAAGGCGGUUCUCUAGGCCUGUACUGACGCUGAGGAGCGAAAGCGUGGGGAGCGAACAGG